rnacentral:rRNA from 1 species
AUUGAACGCUGGCGGCAUGCCUUACACAUGCAAGUCGAACGGUAACAGGUCUUCGGAUGCUGACGAGUGGCGAACGGGUGAGUAAUACAUCGGAACGUGCCUAGUAGUGGGGGAUAACUACUCGAAAGAGUGGCUAAUACCGCAUGAGAUCUACGGAUGAAAGCAGGGGAUCGCAAGACCUUGUGCUACUAGAGCGGCCGAUGGCAGAUUAGGUAGUUGGUGGGAUAAAAGCUUACCAAGCCGACGAUCUGUAGCUGGUCUGAGAGGACGAUCAGCCACACUGGGACUGAGACACGGCCCAGACUCCUACGGAGGCAGCGGUGGGGAAUUUUGGACAAUGGGCGCAAGCCUGAUCCAGCAAUGCCGCGUGCAGGAUGAAGGCCUUCGGGUUGUAAACUGCUUUUGUACGGAACGAAAAGCCCUGGGUUAAUACCCUGGGGUCAUGACGGUACCGUAAGAAUAAGCACCGGCUAACUACGUGCCAGCAGCCGCCGCAGUAA